rnacentral:lncRNA from 1 species
AAGAUGUGCUGCCUCUUCAUCAACGACCUGGACGCCGGCGCGGGGCGGAUGGGCGGGACGACGCAGUACACGGUGAACAACCAGAUGGUGAACGCCACCUUGAUGAACAUCGCGGACGCGCCCACCAACGUGCAGCUCCCGGGGAUGUACAACAAGGAGGAGAACCCACGCGUGCCCAUCAUCGUCACCGGCAACGACUUCUCGACGCUGUACGCGCCCCUCAUCCGCGACGGCCGCAUGGAGAAGUUCUACUGGGCGCCCACCCGCGAGGACCGCAUCGGGGUGUGCAAGGGCAUCUUCCGCACCGACAACGUCCCGGACGAGGCUGUGGUGAGGCUGGUGGACACCUUCCCGGGGCAAUCCAUCGACUUCUUCGGCGCGCUGCGGGCGCGGGUGUACGACGACGAGGUGCGCAAGUGGGUCGGCGAGAUCGGCGUCGAGAACAUCUCCAAGCGCCUCGUCAACUCCAGGGAGGGGCCGCCGACGUUCGACCAGCCCAAGAUGACCAUCGAGAAGCUCAUGGAGUACGGCCACAUGCUGGUCCAGGAGCAGGAGAACGUGAAGCGUGUGCAGCUCGCCGACAAGUACCUCAGCGAG